rnacentral:rRNA from 1 species
UACGUAGGGGGCAAGCGUUGUCCGGAUUUAUUGGGCGUAAAGAGCGUGUAGGCGGUUUGGUAGGUCCGUUGUGAAAACUCGAGGCUCAACCUCGAGACGCCGAUGGAAACCAUCAGACUAGAGUCCGGAAGAGGAGAGUGGAAUUCCUGGUGUAGCGGUGAAAUGCGCAGAUAUCAGGAAGAACACCCGUGGCGAAGGCAGCGAAUUGGCGCUUUAUUGACGCUCAGGCACGAAAGCAUGGGGAUCAAACAGG